rnacentral:lncRNA from 1 species
CUGUAGGGAGGAAUAGAGAUCGGUCUCGUACCAGGCAUUAACUCUAUCUCGAACUCUAUUUCCCUAUCAGGUGGUAGUCCUGGAAGCUCUUCAGGAAACACAUCUGGGAACUCUCUAACAACUGGUAUUGAGGAUGGUUCCCUAACCUGCAUGUCUAGCUCUCUCACAUGAGCUAGGAACCCCUGACAACCCCUCCUCAACAACCGAC